AGGUCNAACCUGCCCAAUGAGGAAUUAAAUGGCCGCAGUAUUUUGACUGUGCAAAGGUAGCAUAAUUAUUAGUUUUUUAAUUGAAAGCUUGUAUGAAGGGUUGGACGAGAUAAAAUCUGUCUUUAUUUAAAUUACAAUAGAAUUUAACUUUUAAGUCAAAAGGCUUAAAUGUAUAUAAAAGACGAGAAGACCCUAUAGAUCUUUAUUUAAUUAAUAUUUUGAUAAUUUAAGAUUAUUUUAGUUUAAAGUUUUAAUUAAAUUUUAUUGGGGUAAUAUAGAGAUUAAAUAAAUUCUUUUUAUUUAUUACAUUGAUUUAUGAAUAUAUGAUCCAAUAUUAUUGAUUAUAAGAUUAAGUUACCUUAGGGAUAACAGCGUAAUUUUUUUGGAGAGCUCAUAUCGAUAAAAAAGUUUGCGACCUCGAUGUUGGAUUAAAAAUUAGCUUGGGUGCAGAAGCUCAAGAUUUUGGUCUGUUCGACCAUUAAAUUUUUACAUGAUCUGAGUUCAGACCGGCGUAAGCCAGGUCGGUUUCUAUCUUUAUUUAUCUAAAAUAUUUUAGUACGAAAGGACCAAAUAUUUAAUAUAAUUAUAUUUCUUUUUUGAAUAAUAUU
rnacentral:rRNA from 1 species